rnacentral:lncRNA from 1 species
UUGCUUUCAUGUAAAAGCACCUACACCCAGGCCCCCCCCACCCACGAACAGCUUCGUGGACAGUUUACUCAGACUGAGUCGAAGAUGGAGAAACUGAGCCCGAGAGAGAGAAGAGGAGUCAGCUGAGCCUCCCCCAGAUAAGACAAUCGCCAAAUAUUCUGGGACCUUGCUGGGGGCAGACAGCCCUCCCUGCCCAGCAAUGGGCCUUUGGGAUGUGGCACAAGCUCCCGGGAAACCAGGAGUGACAAGGGCGCCUGUCCCUGAGGAGUGGAGAGCGCGGAGUUGGUGCUGAGUCAGCCCUGAUGUGGCAGAGGAGGAGCAGGCCCCCGCAGAACCAGGGCUCUUCAGUGUCUCCAGGUCCUUGGUGAAGUGGAACUGGACCAGGCGCGAGUUCCGGAACAGCGGCACUAGGGAAACGUCAUCUCCACCGCUCAACCAGCCCAACCCUGGAGUGCUGUGGAAGCCGCUCUCAGAUCCCUUGGCAGCCCCCCAGGGGAUGAGGCCCAUGAAGAUCUUCUUCUUGGACGAGUACAGGAGCAUGAGCACGCGCACCUCACAGGGGGAGAUGUGGGGGAACAGCAUGCAGCCCGCCUGCG